rnacentral:rRNA from 1 species
CCUACGGGAGGCAGCAGUGAGGAAUAUUGGUCAAUGGGCGCGAGCCUGAACCAGCCAAGUAGCGUGAAGGAUGACUGCCCUACGGGUUGUAAACUUCUUUUAUAAAGGAAUAAAGUGAGGCACGUGUGCCUUUUUGUAUGUACUUUAUGAAUAAGGAUCGGCUAACUCCGUGCCAGCAGCCGCGGUAAUACGGAGGAUCCGAGCGUUAUCCGGAUUCAUUGGGUUUAAAGGGUGCGUAGGUUGUUUUAUAAGUUAGCGGUGAAAUACCGAUGCUCAACAUCGGGGCUGCCGCUAAUACUGUAGGACUAGAGAUCGGAUGCAGCAGGCGGAAUGUGUAGUGUAGCGGUGAAAUGCAUAGAUAUUACACAGAACACCGAUUGCGAAGGCAGUUUGCUAGGCCGGAUCUGACACUGAUGCACGAAAGCGUGGGGAUCGAACAGGAUUAGAUACCCUGGUAGUC